CGGCGCCUAUGACUCCGGCCGCCACAGGCGAGGCGAUUGUUGACAAACUCGCCUGCCAGCGCCGCGCGGACAGCCUCGGCCGGAGCUCUGGGACCCGGGCUGCUUCGGCUGCCCCGCCCCUGGGCCCGGCCGGGACACCGCUCGCCGCAGGACUUCUCGCCGCCACAGUCACCUGGAGACAAAGUAGGACCCGCGCUCUCCGGGGACCCUCCGGAUCGUGCUCACCGGCACCUUCAGGCCGGUCGGCUUGAGGACCCUAAGGCCCGCACUAGCUCAGCUGCAGCAUCCCCUCCCCCGACUCCAGCAACUCCGUCUCCCCGCGCGCCGCGGACACGAAGCCAGUCGGAGCGUCCACCCCUGACCAGGGGCGUGCACUCACACCCCAUCCCCGGCGUUAGGCGGGCUCUCCACCAGCUCCCACUCCCACCGUGGGUAAACACCCCCGGGGUGUAGGGGCCGCCCGCCAACACCGCGUGGGCGCCCCGGGCCACCGGGCACACGCGAGCCGCUAGGACAGUCUGGUCCCGGGGCCCGAACAAGUUCCGCUGGCUGGGGAAACGCCUUUGGCCUCUCGCUAUCCGUGGAUCCAGGGGCUGACACACUGUGAAGGAUGCAUGCAGAUCUAGCAGGGCCCCCAACCACUUCCAAGAGGGAGUCCUCAGCAGCUGCCCCAAACCUCGGCUUGAACGAGUUAAAAAGCAAAGCCCAGGUUGGUCAAAAAUCACCACCGCAGUUCCGCAAACCCUCGCACCUAAGAGCCAAAACUCGAGACCCACAGUACAGUACGGACGCUUCGCGGGGGCCGCCGGCGAGGCUUCCCGGCUGGGCGCGCAGCGCGGUACCGCAGAGCGGGUCUCCAGCUUCCUGGCCGGUGCCAAAACAAGCGAUCUCCCGCUUGCGCCGCUCCGCUGCCCCGCGCGCAUCCCGGCCGGAGCCACAGUUGGGCCAAAUGGCCGCAGCUUCGGUGCCGACGACCCUUCCCCAGAUGGGACCUGCCGGGGGGGCGCUCCGGCCCGCACCGCUCGCAAUCUCCCGCCCGGCGGUGAACGGUGCGGAUUCGCGCGUCCGGCCUGCACGUGCGCGGAAAGCCGGCACUAGAUGGAGCCGCUCGGGCUUCGGCGCCCGUCUUCCAUCCGUACCCAGCCCGUUCCUCGGGAUGCGGAGGACCCAAAUCAGCAAGAUCCUCGCCUUUCUCGCGCUCCGCACUUCCGCGCCCUCCUGUCACCCCGCAGGCGCUCGCCAGCUCUUUUCCGUGAGACCGAGCCUGGGGUGGGAAGGAGAGCGCAGGGCCGGCCAGGAGCCACCCCAGGACGCGUCCUUCCGCAGCCCCAGCCUGGGGCGGGAUGCGCGUGUGUGCAGAUACGAUAGGGAAGUUUAA
rnacentral:lncRNA from 1 species